AGGACGAACGCUGGCGGCGUGCUUAACACAUGCAAGUCGAGCGGAAAGGCCCUUCGGGGUACUCGAGCGGCGAACGGGUGAGUAACACGUGAGCAACCUGCCCUUAGCUCCGGGAUAGCUCCGGGAAACCGGAAUUAAUACCGGAUAUGACCUAGGCCGACAUCGGCUGUGGUGGAAAGUUUUUCGGCUGGGGAUGGACUCGCGGCCUAUCAGCUUGUUGGUGGGGUAAUGGCCUACCAAGGCGACGACGGGUAGCCGGCCUGAGAGGGCGACCGGCCACACUGGGACUGAGACACGGCCCAGACUCCUACGGGAGGCAGCAGUGGGGAAUCUUGCGCAAUGGGCGAAAGCCUGACGCAGCGACGCCGCGUGGGGGAUGAAGGCCUUCGGGUUGUAACCCCGUUUCAGCAGGACGAAGCGAAAGUGACGGUACCUGCAGAAGAAGCGCCGGCUAACUACGUGCCAGCAGCCGC
rnacentral:rRNA from 1 species